rnacentral:lncRNA from 1 species
AGUUCCACCUCCCAGGUUCAAGCAAUUCUCCUGCCUCAGCCUCCCAAGUAGCUGGGAUUACAGGUGCCUGCCACCACGCACAGCUAAUUUUUGUAUUUUUAGUAGAGACAGGGUUUUACCAUGUUGGCCUGGCUGGUCUCGAACUCCUGACCUUUAGUGAUCCAUCCGUCUUGGCCUCCCACUGCGCCCGGCCAUAAACUUUUAAACUAAAGCAUGAUCUAUCGAUACAUUGCAGAGCUUCUUUCCUUUAGUAUCUGAAGGUUUGAGUCAAAGCUGUUUUCCCAUCUGGAAUCAGUUGCCCAUUUGGCUAUCCGCCCGAGCGUUGUGGUUUCCUCUCCUGUUCCUGGCCUGCCUUUGUGACUCACUCUGGAGAUCACCUUCGAGGUUAAUGGCUUGUGGAAGAGUUCCAAGUUUUAUCUCUGUCCUAGUUGGUUAAACAUCAUUUUCUCUUUUUCAAGCAAGUGAAAAGCUUUCAAUAGAUAGAUGUUUAUUUCCUAAGCACUAAAUGACUCAUAAAUUAAGUCCCUGUAGAUUUGGAAAAACUCCUUAAACUGUAUCUAGAGGUCUAGCACUUCCUAGUAGGAUAGACAGUCCUUUCUAGAUACUGUAACUUUUUUCUGUACCGCUUUGGAGUACAGUCUUUAUGAAGUUGUUUGUAAGCAAAAGGGAAUAAAAUUUAAGCCUAAAGGCUGGGCGCGAUGGCUCACAUCUGUAAUCCCAAUGCUUUGGGAGGCCAAGGCAGGUGGAUCACCUGAGGUCAGGAGUUCAAGACCAGCCUGACCAACAUGGUGAAACCCCAUCUCAAAAUACAAAAAAUUAUCUGGGUGUGGUG